UUCAUACUUCCUCCGUUCGGAAUUACUCGUCGCACAAAUGGAUGUAUCUAGAACGUCUAGAUACAUCCAUUUGUGCGACGAGUAAUUCUGAACGGAGAGAGUAUUUA
rnacentral:pre_miRNA from 1 species